rnacentral:rRNA from 1 species
GAUGAACGCUGGCGGCGUGCUUAACACAUGCAAGUCGAACGGGAAUUACUUUAUUGAAACUUCGGUCGAUAUAAUUUAAUUCUAGUGGCGGACGGGUGAGUAACGCGUGGGUAACCUGCCUUAUACAGGGGGAUAACAGUCAGAAAUGGCUGCUAAUACCGCAUAAGCGCACAGAGCUGCAUGGCUCAGUGUGAAAAACUCCGGUGGUAUAAGAUGGACCCGCGUUGGAUUAGCUAGUUGGUGGGGUAACGGCCCACCAAGGCGACGAUCCAUAGCCGGCCUGAGAGGGUGAACGGCCACAUUGGGACUGAGACACGGCCCAGACUCCUACGGGAGGCAGCAGUGGGGAAUAUUGCACAAUGGGGGAAACCCUGAUGCAGCGACGCCGCGUGAAGGAAGAAGUAUCUCGGUAUGUAAACUUCUAUCAGCAGGGAAGAUAG